CCUACGGGAGACAGCAGUGAGGAAUAUUGGUCAAUGGACGAGAGUCUGAACCAGCCAAGUAGCGUGAAGGAUGACUGCCCUAUGGGUUGUAAACUUCUUUUAUAUGGGAAUAAAAUGUUCCACGUGUGGGAUUUUGUAUGUACCAUAUGAAUAAGGAUCGGCUAACUCCGUGCCAGCAGCCGCGGUAAUACGGAGGAUCCGAGCGUUAUCCGGAUUUAUUGGGUUUAAAGGGAGCGUAGGUGGAUUGUUAAGUCAGUUGUGAAAGUUUGCGGGUCAACCGUAAAAUUGCAGUUGAAACUGGCAGUCUUGAGUACAGUAGAGGUGGGCGGAAUUCGUGGUGUAGCGGUGAAAUGCUUAGAUAUCACGAAGAACUCCGAUUGCGAAGGCAGUUCACUGGACUGCAACUGACACUGAGGCUCGAAAGUGUGGGUAUCAAACAGGAUUAGAUACCCUUGUAGUC
rnacentral:rRNA from 1 species